UUCAAUGAUGAAGCCCAGAUAGGGACAGCUGAAACAUUUUUGAUGCGAACCCUGGGCCAGUAUUUUAGUAGAUGCUCUGGUUUCUGAGA
rnacentral:snoRNA from 1 species